rnacentral:tRNA from 1 species
CCGUCGAUAGCUCAGUUGGUAGAGCGGUGGACUGUAGAUCCAUAGGUCGCUGGUUCGAAUCCGGCUCGACGCA